GUCCCUGUAGCGUAAUGAACAGCGCGUUGAACUUCUAAUACAAACGUCUUGGGCUCGAAUCACACGUGGGAUG